GUUAGAACGCUUCGUAGUCGGAUUUUCGGGGCGGGCCGACCGGUCUGCCGAGGGGUACGCACUGGUCGGCGCGUUUUUUUUCCGGAGAGCGUGCCUACUCUUAACUGAGCGGGGGCGGGAGAGGGAUCGUUUACUUUGAAAAAAUCAGAGUGUUUCAAGCAGGCAGCUCGCUCUUGCAUGGAUUAGCAUGGGAUAAUGAAAUAGGACUUUGGUGCUAUUUUGUUGGUUUCGAACACCGAAGUAAUGAUUAAAAGGGACAGUCAGGGGCACUCGUAUUCCGCCGAGAGAGGUGAAAUUCUCAGACCAGCGGAAGACGAACCACUGCGAAAGCAUUUGCCAGGGAUGUUUUCACUGAUCAAGAACGAAAGUUAGGGGAUCGAAGAGGAUCAGAUACCCUCGUAGUCUUAACCAUAAACCAUGCCGACUAGGGAUUGGAGGAUGUUCACAAUUGACUCCUUCAGCACCUUACGGGAAACUAAAGUCUUUGGGUUCCGGGGGGAGUAUGGUCGCAAGGCUGAAACUUAAAGGAAUUGACGGAAGGGCACCACCAGGUGUGGAGCCUGCGGCUUAAUUUUGACUCAACACGGGGAAACUUACCAGGUCCAGACAUUUGUGAGGAUUGACAGAUUGAGAGCUCUUUCUUGAUUUGAUGGGUGGUGGUGCAUGGCCGUUCUUAGUUGGUGGAGUGAUUUGUCUGGUUAAUUCCG
rnacentral:rRNA from 1 species